rnacentral:snRNA from 1 species
UUUCUUUUCUUGAUGCAGAUAAA